UGUAUGGUUAAGUGACUAAGCGUACACGGUGGAUGCCUGGGCAGUCAGAGGCGAUGAAGGACGUACUAACUUGCGAUAAGCGCAGAUAAGGCAGUAAGAGCCGUUUGAGUCUGCGAUUUCCGAAUGGGGAAACCCAACUGCAUAAGCAGUUACUGUUAACUGAAUACAUAGGUUAACAGAGCAAACCGGGGGAACUGAAACAUCUAAGUACCCCGAGGAGAAGAAAUCAACCGAGAUUCCGGUAGUAGCGGCGAGCGAACCUGGAUUAGCCCUUAAGCACUCGGUGAAGUAGGUGAACAAGCUGGAAAGCUUGGCGAUACAGGGUGAUAGCCCCGUAACCGACGCUUCAUCGAGCGUGAAAUCGAGUAGGGCGGGACACGUGAUAUCCUGUCUGAAUAUGGGGGGACCAUCCUCCAAGGCUAAAUACUCCUGACUGACCGAUAGUGAACCAGUACCGUGAGGGAAAGGCGAAAAGAACCCCUGUGAGGGGAGUGAAAUAGAACCUGAAACCGUGUACGUACAAGCAGUAGGAGCACCUUCGUGGUGUGACUGCGUACCUUUUGUAUAAUGGGUCAGCGACUUAUAUUCAGUGGCAAGGUUAACCGUAUAGGGGAGCCGUAGCGAAAGCGAGUCUUAACUGGGCGCUCAGUCUCUGGAUAUAGACCCGAAACCGGGUGAUCUAGCCAUGGGCAGGUUGAAGGUUGAGUAACAUCAACUGGAGGACCGAACCGACUAAUGUUGAAAAAUUAGCGGAUGACUUGUGGCUAGGGGUGAAAGGCCAAUCAAACUCGGAGAUAGCUGGUUCUCCCCGAAAGCUAUUUAGGUAGCGCCUCGGACGAAUACUACUGGGGGUAGAGCACUGUUAAGGCUAGGGGGUCAUCCCGACUUACCAACCCUUUGCAAACUCCGAAUACCAGUAAGUACUAUCCGG
rnacentral:rRNA from 1 species